CAGUCGCCGCGGUAAAACCAGCACCUCGAGUGGUCAGGAGGUUUAUUGGGCCUAAAGCAUCCGUAGCCGGUUGCAUAAGUUUUCGGUUAAAUCUAUGCGCUUAACGUAUAGGCCGCCGAAAAUACUGUGCAGCUAGGGAGUGGGAGAGGUACACGGUACUCGAUAGGAAGGGGUAAAAUCCUUUGAUCUAUUGAUGACCACCUGUGGCGAAGGCGGUGUACCAGAACACGUUCGACGGUGAGGGAUGAAAGCUGGGGGAGCAAACCGGAUUAGAUACCCGAGUAGUCCCUGUCUCUUAUAC
rnacentral:rRNA from 1 species